rnacentral:rRNA from 1 species
CCUACGGGUGGCUGCAGUGGGGAAUAUUGCACAAUGGGCGCAAGCCUGAUGCAGCCAUGCCGCGUGUGUGAAGAAGGCCUUUGGGUUGUAAAGCACUUUCAGCGGGGAGGAAGGCGUUAAGGUUAAUAACCUUGUCGAUUGACGUUACCCGCAGAAGAAGCACCGGCUAACUCCGUGCCAGCAGCCGCGGUAAUACGGAGGGUGCAAGCGUUAAUCGGAAUUACUGGGCGUAAAGCGCACGCAGGCGGUCUGUCAAGUCGGAUGUGAAAUCCCCGGGCUCAACCUGGGAACUGCAUUCGAAACUGGCAGGCUAGAGUCUUGUAGAGGGGGGUAGAAUUCCAGGUGUAGCGGUGAAAUGCGUAGAGAUCUGGAGGAAUACCGGUGGCGAAGGCGGCCCCCUGGACAAAGACUGACGCUCAGGUGCGAAAGCGUGGGGAGCAAACAGGAUUAGAUACCCGAGUAGUC